rnacentral:rRNA from 1 species
GUGGUUCGAUUCUGGCUCAGAUUGAACGCUGGCGGGAUGCUUUACACACCAUGCAAGUCGAACGGCAGCACGGACUUCGGCCUGGUGGCGAGUGGCGAACGGGCAAGAGUAAUGUAUCGGAACGUGCCUAGUAGCGGGGGAGAACUACGCGAAAGCGUGUAGCUAAUACCGCAUACGCCCUUCGGGAAAGCGGGGACCUUCGGGCCUCGCACUAUUAGAGCGGGGCCGAUAUCGGAUUAGCUAGUCGGUGGGGUAACGGCUCACCAAGGCGACGAUCCGUAGCUGGUUUGAGAGGACGACCAGCUACACUGGGACUGAGACACGGCCCAGACUCCUACGGAGGCAGCAGUGGGGAAUUUUGGACAAUGGGGAAACCCUGAUCCAGCCAUCCCGCGUGUGCGAUGAAGGCCUUCUAAGCAAAAGCACUUUGGCAGGAAAGAAACGGCACGGGAUAAUACCCUGUAACUGACGGUACCUGCAGAAUAAGCACCGGCUAACUACGUGCCAGCAGCCGCGGUAAUAAUGGUGGGUGCAAGCGUUAAUCGGAAUUACUGGCGGAAGCGUGCGCAGGCGGUUCGGAAAGAAAGAUAAAUCCCAGAGCUAACUUUGAAACUGCAUUUUAACUACCGAGCUAGAGGUCAGAGGGAGGAAUUCCGCGUGUGGCAGUGAAAUGCGUAGAUAUGUGGAGGAACACCGAUGGCGAAGGCAGCCUCCUGGACAACACCGGACGCUCAUGCACGAAAGUGCGGGAGCAAACAGGAUUAGAUACCCUGGUAGUCCUACGCCCUAAACGAUGUCAACUAGCUGUUGUAGCUUUCGGGCCUUAAAGGCAGCUAACGCGUGAAGUCGACCGCCUGGGGAGUACGGUCGCAAGAUUAAAACCUGUGCUGAAUUGACGGGGACCUGCACAAGCGGUGGAUGAUGUGGAUUAAUUCGAUGCAACGCGGAAAACCUUACUCUACCCUUGACAUGCCUGGAAUCCCGAAGAGAUUUGGGAGUGCUCGCAAGAGAACCGGAACACAGGUGCUGUAUGCACGCCGUCAGCUCGUGUCGUGAGAUGUUGGGUUGGCGUCCGCAACGAGCGCAACCCUUGUCAUUAGUUGCUGUCCAGAAAGGGCACCUGACGAGACUGCCGGUGACAAACUGGAGGAAGGUGGGGAUGAUGUCAAGUCCUCAUGGCCCUUAUGGGUAGGGCUUCGACACGUCAUACAAUGGUCGGGACAGAGGGUCGCCAACCCGCGAGGGGGAGCCAAUCCUGGUGAAACCCGAUCAAGUCCGGAUCGCGCAGUCUGCAACUCGACUGCGUGAAGUCAGAAUCGCUAGUAAUCGCGGAUCAGCAUGUCGCGGUGAAUACGUUCCCGGGUCUUGUACACACCGCCCGUCACACCAUGGAGUGGGUUUACCAGAAGUAGUUAGCCCAACUGCAAGGAGGGCGAUUACUACGGUAGGAUUCAUGAUCGGGGUGAAGCCGUGUAACAAGGCA